rnacentral:misc_RNA from 1 species
GAUGAAGAACGCAGUGAAAUGCGAAAAGUAAUGUGAAUUGCAGAAUUCAGUGAACCAUCGAAUCUUUGAACGCACAUUGCGCCCGCUGGAACUCCGGCGGGCACGCCUGUCCGAGCGUCAUUUCAACCCUCAGGCCCCCCUUCGCGGGCGGGCCUGGUGUUGGGGCCCGGCCGCUACCCUGCGGCCGUCCCCUAAAUCCAGUGGCGGCCUCGCCGUGAUCCCUUGCGUAGUAAUGCACCUCGCACCGGAGAGCGCCGUGGCCACGCCGUAAAACCCCCAAUUUUCAAUGGUUGACCUCGGAUCAGGUGGGAAUACCCGCUGAACUUAAGCAUAUCAAUAAGCGGAGGA